rnacentral:misc_RNA from 1 species
GGAGUCAGCUAUAUAAAGUAUCACGCAGGACCAAAAGCAAUCAAGAUAUAUAGAUAGAUGUGGAGACUGCGCGCCAACUUGUUAACUUGCUUGAAUAUCCUCAUUUCCAUCUCAUUAUCACUUUUUUAUUGAGGUCACGUAACCUCAAACUUCAUUUUGAACUGAUGAUUUUUAACUGUUUGGGAGUCGAGAAAAAUUUUAAUAUUGAUUUAUAAUUAAUCAAAUCAUCAAUGGAUCUGAAAGAGAUGGAAAAAACAACUGGAAAUCCAUCAUUGGACUCUAAAAUUAAUGAAUAUAUCCAAUGGAAUAAGAAUCUAACAGCAAAAAAGGAAGUUGAUGAUUUAAUUAAGACCAAAAAUCUUAAAGAAUUGGAGAAUCUUUUUCUAAAAAGAUUAGAAUUUGGCACAGCUGGUCUCAGAGGACGCAUGGGUCCGGGGUAUAAUCAAAUGAAUGAUUUAGUUAUUAUUCAGACUGGUCAAGGGCUUGCUAAAUAUUUAAUGAAAACAAUUGUCAAUCUUCAAGAGAAAGGAGUUAUUAUUGGAUAUGAUGGACGAUACAAUAGUAAAAGAUUCGCUGAAUUAACAUCCACAAUAUUUUUAAACAAUCAAAUAAAAGUCUAUACGUUUUCUGAAGUCUGUCCUACACCUUUCAUUCCAUUUGGAGUUUUGAAAUUCUCAUGUGGAGCAGGAAUCAUGGUGACAGCAUCUCACAAUCCUAAAGAGGACAAUGGAUAUAAAGUCUACUGGGAAAAUGGAGCCCAAAUAAUUUCCCCGCAUGAUAAAGAGAUCCAAAAAUGUAUCUUGGAGUGCUUAGAACCUCUUCCUACAUCCUGGAAUACAGAAAUAAUUAAUGGGAAUCCAUUGUUCAAAGAUUCUUUGGAAGAAGUAAUGGAAGAUUAUUUCAAAAUCAUCAAAGAGACUACGAUGUAUCCAAAAAUAAAUCAAAAAUGUAAUUUAAAAUUUGUUUAUACUCCAAUGCAUGGAGUUGGAUUUAGGUACAUGACAGAAGCAUUUAAAGCAGCUGAUUUCAAGCCAUUUAUUGUUGUUGAAGAACAAAAAAAUCCACAUCCAGAUUUUCCAACUGUCAAAUUUCCUAAUCCCGAGGAAGGAAAGAGUGCUCUUGAUUUGAGUAUUCAAACAGCUGAAAAAAAUGGAGCGUCAAUAAUUUUAGCUAAUGAUCCUGAUGCUGAUCGACUAGCUUGUGCAGUCAAAAAAAAAACAGGUGAAUGGCAUAUUUUUACUGGCAAUGAACUCGGAGCUCUUCUAGGAUGGUGGAUGCUCUAUGUUUAUCAAAAUAAACAUCCUGAAAAAAAUAUCUGUAACGCUUAUAUGAUGGCUUCCACUGUUUCUAGCAAAAUCCUAAAGACUAUGGCAAAGAAACAAGGUUUUCAAUUCGAAGAAACAUUAACAGGCUUCAAGUGGAUGGGAAAUAAAUGUAUAGACUUGAUAAAAAAUAAUUAUGAUGUCUUGUUUGCAUUUGAAGAAGCUAUUGGAUUCAUGUGUGGUCCUAAAGUACUUGAUAAAGAUGGGAUAAGUGCUGGUGUUCGUCUAGCAGAAAUGGCAGCAUAUCUUGAUGCCAAAAUGAAUCGAAGUCUUAUUGACCAACUAGCCGAGAUUUAUAAAGAGUAUGGACAUCAUAUAAGUGACAAUUCUUACUGGAUUUGCCACGAACAAGAUACUAUUAGGCGUAUUUUUAAUAGACUGAGGAAUUUUGAAGACCAACCAAACACGCUACCAAUACGUUUCAAAUAUGGGAAGAAGAAUAUUUAAAAUGAUUCAACAACACUAAUAAUAAUCAAGUCGUAAUGAAAAUGCGUCCUAAGUAAACGAUAUUAUCAUGAUAAUCUAUUAGAACUGUUAAGCAAACAGAAACUAAACGUUAAAAAAAAUACGAUCACGUACUUAAAUGCGGAUCAUUAUAUGUAUAUCUAGCACAUUUAUUACGAUUAAUGCAUUGGCUGAUAGUAUUGAAUACCCAAGAAGCAUUGCCGAUGGAAAAUAUAUGAUAACAGGUGUUCGCGAUCUAACAACUGGGUACGACAAUACACAACCUAAUAAUCAAGCUGUCUUGCCUACGUCAAAAUCCAGUCAAAU